UGUGUGUGUGUGUGUGUGUAGGCGAGUUUCCAGUGUUUCCUGCCUACUAACUGACUGAGCAGUGUUUUCUCAGCUGCACUAACCAUGAGAGCGAAGAAAAGAUGUUUUCAUGGAUUUCGUCUCCUUUCCUUCAGCUGACUGAAAACACACCUGGCACUGGGAUAAGCCUCGGCYCUGUCCAGUGUCAAACCAGCUAAUAUUUCCCUGAUGCUUCUGGCCUCACAGCUGCUUCAGGCAUCAACUCACCUCCAACACCAAAGAAASGUUUCCUCAUCCCAUCCACCUCAGGUUGAAGAUACCAACACAUCAUCUGCACAAUGCAGAGUGUUUCUGACCACCACAGCCUGGAUUAUAAACAUGGGGCAGCCCUGGUGGAGUCCAACACCUACUGGUCCUGAUGAGCUUGACCUUGUUGUGAGGAUGCAGACACAGCACUUGCUUUGAUUGUAGCUCUUGUUUUGAUUGCCUUUAAAAGCAGUUCCCUCACACAGGGAACACAUUCGUGAGCCUUCUUUAGACCCACAAAGUGUAAACCUCCAUGACCUCCUCAAUCACUCUUCAAGGCUUUCAUGAAAAAGUCACAGUGAUCCUCCUAAAUCUGAGAUUUGGCAGUAGRUUGGCUCUUCCUUUCAUCACCUUUAAAUUUACCAGAUGUUGUUGUUUGCCAUAUCUUUCUACUUUAACAAUAAAAAUCAAUAAAUCUUGAAAA